AAACAUCAGUAAGGAUCAGUCCGUCAAUAAGAGGCAGAAGGACUCGAUCCUUAAGGCACGUGUCUGUACAGGAGAGGCUGUUGUGUUUUGUCUUGCGUUUGUGUUUGUUGUUGCGAAAAAAAAAUUCAUUCGGUUUUCAUCGGUUUCUCCUCGACGAAGCCGAGACAAUCAUGGGUGAUCUCGUCGACGACAAAGGAACUUGGCGGUAGCAAAGCGUGGGUUCCUCUCCUCAACGACGAAGCAAAUCGGCAGUGGCUCUGGUCGACGCGAAGCAACUCGGCGGAAGUUCUCAGCGUCAGCGAGUUCGUUCUCGCUGGUGAUAAUCUUGUCUCUAAGUGCCCUACCUGGUCAUGGGAAGCUGGUGAUCCAAGCAAGAGAAAGCCAUACUUGCCUUCAGAGAAACAGUUUCUGAUUACUAGGAAUGGUGAAGUAGAGCUCUUUUCUGUUCAAUUUAAAGUUUUUGAUUGUGCAUCUGCUCUUGCGUUUCGCACCUCACGCAAUGGUGAAAAAGAGUGAAAGAGAGGAGCAUUAGGAGUGGAAGGAUCACAGGAUCACAGAAACUUGUUGCAUGUCCUAUUGUCUGUCGUACUGAAGCUUGUUGUCAUGUGUAGUCUUACUCUCACCGAAGCUUGUAAAAGGUUGUAAUCUUGUACUCUCUUCUAUUGUUGUAAUGAAAUUGUUUUAAUUCUUAAAGACUCCAAAAUUCUUAAUU